UGCUAUGUGUGAUGGGCUAGGCCCACACGUGAUGUGUGUGUGUGGUUGCAAAAGGGAAUUCUUCCCUAGUUUUGCAAUAGUGGUGUGUGCGUGAAAUAUAUAAUUGAGAGGCGCAGCACUUCUGAAGAGGAAGAUUAUUUGGGUUCCGAUGACAAAAGUGUGUUCGGCAAACGAUCUCCGUUUCGGCUGAAAUUUGAGUAUGUUAUUUUUGUUAUCUAGUUUGAUACUUAGAUAAUUUUUCUAAGUAGUUUUGUCUUCUCUUUGUGUCUGUUUGGGAUAUCUAUUUAGGGUUUGUUGGUUGUUAGAAUCAUCAUAGUUGGUGAUUAUUUGAUGAUUGUCGGUUCCUAGAGAUUUAAGAAGACAUUAAUCGUAACCAUAGGUGUUAUAGUGGAAGUUUUUGGCUGGUCUAGGUCCGUGGUUUUUAUUUACAGUUUUUACUCCUUUUUAUUGUUGUUAUUGUUGUUGUUGGUUGUGCUGGUAUAUUGGAUUGUUCAGGUUCUACAAAAAGAGAUAAUUCAUGCUUCCGCACAUUCCACUUUGCGCACUCUGAUCCCAACACCAACAGGGUAUACAUGUAUGAUCAAUCCCUUGCCAUUGUAUAUCCUCAGUAAAGAACUGUUGUCAUCAAUUAAAAUACAAAUAUGAAAAAG
rnacentral:lncRNA from 1 species